rnacentral:ribozyme from 15 species
AAAGGAAAAAAAAGGAAAACGGAAAAAAGGAAAAAAGAGGACAAAUAAGCUAUUGCGAGGUCUUCUCAUCAACGUUUUUCCAGGUUAUUUCUGUUUCACUGUGGGCAGACCAAUUUCGACCCAAAAGUAAAACCGAUCUGGGCAGGCAAAGCAAAACGGAAAUGUAAAACCAACCUACAUUUUAGCAUAAAAUUCCUUGUAGAAAGUGAUCUUGAUUUUAGUAACAUUAAUAAACAAGACUUUUCUCCCAAAAGAUUAGUACAAACAAAUCAU